UACGAACUGUGCGAACGUUAUUCGGAAUCACUGGGCUUACAGGGUGUGUAGGCGGCUUGUUAAGCAGGGUGUGAAAUCCUCCGGCUCAACCGGGGAACGGCGCUCUGGACUGGCGAGCUUGAGUGUGCUAGGGGUGUGUGGAACUUCCAGUGGAGCGGUGAAAUGUGUUGAUAUUGGAAGGAACACCGGUGGCGAAAGCGACACACUGGGGCAUAACUGACGCUGAGACACGAAAGCCAGGGGAGCGAACGGGAUUAGAAACCCCCGUAGUCC
rnacentral:rRNA from 1 species